rnacentral:rRNA from 1 species
UACGGAGGGUGCGAGCGUUUGUCCGGAAUCACUGGGCGUAAAGGGCGCGUAGGCGCCCGGCAAGUCAAACGGUGAAAGCUUGGGGCUCAACCCCGAGUCGGCCGUCGAUACUUCCGGGCUGGAGCACUGUAGAGGCAGGUGGAAUUCCGGGUGUAGCGGUGGAAUGCGUAGAGAUCCGGAAGAACACCGGUGGCGAAGGCGGUUAGCUGGGCAGUUGCUGGACACUGAGGCGCGGACAGCGUGG